GAGGAAUAUUGGUCAAUGGAGGCAACUCUGAACCAGCCAUGCCGCGUGAAGGAUGAAGGUCCUCUGGAUUGUAAACUUCUUUUAUAGAAGAAGAAACCCCAGUAUUCUUACUGGGUUGACGGUACUCUAUGAAUAAGCACCGGCUAACUCCGUGCCAGCAGCCGCGGUAAUACGGAGGGUGCAAGCGUUAUCCGGAUUCACUGGGUUUAAAGGGAGCGUAGGUGGGUUGGUAAGUCAGCGGUGAAAUCCCCGAGCUUAACUCGGGAACUGCCAUUGAUACUAUCAAUCUUGAAUACUGUGGAGGUAAGCGGAAUAUAUCAUGUAGCGGUGAAAUGCUUAGAUAUGAUAUAGAACACCGAUAGCGAAGGCAGCUUACUACGCAGUGAUUGACACUGAGGCUCGAAAGCGUGGGGAUCAAAC
rnacentral:rRNA from 1 species